AAGCGUCCUCCAAGGCUGCUAAUAAAGGAUGUCCUCCCCCUCCUUCUCUUUUGCUGGCGCUGUCAAGACCUGUCUGGGCUAUUCAACUGCUCCUCUCUUGGUGAGAUACUCCAGCUUCUUGGUUCAGACUCCUGUAACUAACAGAAAACUGAUCAUGAGACUGCAUGGAGAGGAUGGCCUUUCUCUGGGCUAUGUGCUCCCACUGGACAUCUUCAAGGAACUGAAUGCUCAAAAAACUAUCAGAACCACAACAACAAAAGCUAAGUGAUUUCAAUUUUCUUGGGGUCUAGCUUUCCCAUAUUUGCAAUCUGCAUGAAUAAUUGAGCCAGUAUAAGAGGCAGGGCAGGGACUUGCACUUUUGGCAGCUGCUCAACUCUACUUGGCUCAGCUCUGAUGAGAAGCAGAAGUCACAUUUGCUAGUAGGCUCUGGCUGCCAUUUAAUAUCUGUUGGUAUGUUAGGGAUCUGACUCAUGUUUGCUUGACAAGCAGCUAAAAUGGGUUAAAGUAUGUUACUCCCUCAGGCACACAUCAGCUCUUUUGCAGCUGGGGUCAGGACGCCACGGUUUUGGCUGGCAUGCUGCAGGCACAGUAUGCUCUGCUCCUGGACAACAACCUGUGGCAGUGGGGAGGAGUGAAGGCCUAGAGGGGAAACACCUCCAGGUGUCACAGACAGAUUUGCAAAAGCUAAUCUCCCAAAACCCACUGUAGGGUCAGGGACUUGGCAUGUCACCAAGAGGGGUGGUGAUGUGGGGCAAGUGGCCCAGGCUGUAAGCACCAGGCUUGCAGUCAGCAGCUGUGUCAUGGCAGCUCCAACAGCACUGCAGGGACCCUGCAGGGGCCUUGAGGAGGGCUGCUUAACUUCUCUUUCUCAUUUUGCCCAGAAGUGUUAUGUGAAUGGAUUGUAGGCAGUGCACUGGGUCCCUUUCAGGCUCACAAUUCAAGAAUAGUCUUUUUUCUUUGGCUAUCUCUUCUAUCUUCCUAUCUCCUCCCCAGCAGCCACUUCUCCAAGAAGUAAUAACUCAGAUCCUUUAGUUCCUUACCCUAGCCAAAUGCUUUGAUCAAUCUAGUAUCUCUCUAAACAUUUUCCAACAUGUUUCUGGUUUUUCCACCUUGAAUGAGCCUCACAGAAAAAUGUAAACCAUUUUUUACUUUCAGCAGAUUAUUUCUUCUUCUUCAGUUCUUCUGUGGUUUUCUUUUCUUUCUUUACUUUUUUUCCUUUUAAAAAAUACUUACAUCAUUUUACAUAAGAACUAGACUAACAUGUUGUA
rnacentral:lncRNA from 1 species